GUGGAUUAGAUACCCUGGUAGUCCACGCCCUAAACGAUGUAUGCUUGGUGUUAGAGUUUACUCUAGUGCCGUAGGAAAUCCGUUAAGCAUACCACCUGGGGAGUACGAUCGCAAGGUUGAAACUCAAAGGAAUUGACGGGGGCCCGCACAAGCGGUGGAUCAUGUGGUUUAAUUCGAUGCAACGCGAAGAACCUUACCCGGGCUUGAACUAUACUUGACAGAUGCCGAAAGGUAUCCUCCUUCGGGCAAGUGUAGAGGUGCUGCAUGGCCGUCGUCAGCU
rnacentral:rRNA from 1 species